AAACUUUCAACAAUGGAUCUCUUGCGUUCCGGCAUCGAUGAAGAACGCAGCGAAAUGCGAUAAACUAGUGUGAAUUGCAGAAUUCCGUGAAUCAUCGAGUCUUUGAACGCACAUUGCGCCCCCCUGGUAUUCCGGGGGGCAUGCCUGUCCGAGCGUCAUU
rnacentral:rRNA from 1 species